GACAGAGGUGCCAAGCGUUAGGCGGAAUCACUGGGCUUAAAGCGUGUGUAGGCGGAUCGUUAAGUACCUUGUGAAAUCCCACGGCUCAACCGUGGAACUGCUGGGUAUACUGGCGAUCUUGAGCCACCUAGGGGCGAGCGGAACAAACGGUGGAGCGGUGAAAUGCGUAGAUAUCGUUUGGAACGCCAACGGUGAAAACAGCUUGCUGGGGGUGUGCUGACGCUGAGACACGAAAGCCAGGGGAGCGAACGGG
rnacentral:rRNA from 1 species